rnacentral:rRNA from 1 species
CAGCCCUAAACGAUGCGCGUUAGGUGUAUCGGUGACCACGAGUCACCGAGGUGCCGAAGGGAAACCGUGAAACGUGCCGCCUGGGAAGUACGGUCGCAAGGCUGAAACUUAAAGGAAUUGGCGGGGGAGUACCACAACGGGUGGAGCCUGCGGUUUAAUUGGACUCAACGCCGGGAAGCUCACCGGAUAAGACAGCGGAAUGAUUGCCGGGCUGAAGACCCUGCAUGACCAGCUGAGAGGUGGUGCAUGGCGUCAGUGACU